rnacentral:sRNA from 1 species
AUGGUUAAGUGUUGCUGUGUCUACAAGUGUCGGAACGUGUGUAACAGCGAAGCACGGGCAAAGGGGGUCAGUUUCUUUCGUUUCCCUAACGACAAAAGGAAGAGAAGAGCAUGGACUAAUGCCGUGAACAGAGAUAAGUGGACGCCAAAUGAACACUCUUGGAUCUGCUCUGAUCAUUUUGUUGAGGGAUGGCACGGAGACGACCCGGGCAACGAAAACUAUGGCCCGACUUUAUUUUCCUACAAAAGGAAGCAGACAGAAGAUGAUUUUGAUAGAGAACCGAGAAGACUUGACCGAGAAACGAUCAGGGAAAGACUUUGCUCAGAGAAGGUUAAUAUGGAGAGAGAGAAAGCCCAUUUGGAAUUUUCUGUGCUUGUCCAUGGCUCCUACUGCAAGAUGGAUGAUUCGGGGGACCAUGAUCAAUAUAUACCUGCAGCAGUACCUUGUGCUUAUCAUGAAAUAACACAUGAUGUUGAUGUCCCCAUAAUGACUUGUGAUUCAGGUGUGCAGUGUGAAGAAGACCCCCUUCUUAUUGAAAACAGACAUCUAAAAAAAAAAGUUAGAAGACUUCAGGGGGAGCUGCGGAAACAUAAAUGGGGUGCUGAACGCAUUAGAGAUGAUGACGCCAUGACACGCUUUUAUACAGGCCUACCCUCUUUUGCCAUCUUCCUGUGGCUGUACAACUACCUUUCCACCAAGUGCUCUAGGAUGACAUAUUGGAGGGGGGAAGGGCAGACAUCGAGUUCAGACCGGCUUAGGAUGUCUCCAUCAUGUUUACGCCCGAUCGACCAACUUUUUGCUGUCCUCAUGCGUCUGAAAGUUGGACUGUACGUGCAAGACAUAUCAGAGAGAUUUCAGAUCAGCAGUGCCUCAUUCUCUAUGUAUUUUUCUACCUGGAUAACUUUAAUUCAUGCAGAGCUUAAAUUUAGAUUUUUAACCCAUUUCCUAGCAAAGAUAUUAUCACGAGAACCAUGCCAGAAUCCUUUAAAGCCAAAUAUCCAUCAACCAGAGUGA